AGAGUAGUGGCGGAAUGGUAGACGCGCCAGGCAUGGACUGGCGGAUGUAGAGAGUUCGAAACUCUUAAUCGACUGGAUAGACUACACAUUGCAGGUUCGAAUCCUGCCUACUCUA
rnacentral:tRNA from 1 species